rnacentral:rRNA from 1 species
GACGAACGCUGGCGGCGUGCCUAACACAUGCAAGUCGAGCGGAGGCAGCGGAAGAGCAAUCUGAGGCUGUCUGAGCGGCGGACGGGUGAGUAACGCGUGAGCAACCUGCCUUCCACAGGGGGAUAACGUACCGAAAGGUACACUAAUACCGCAUGAGACCACGGUACUGAUGGUACAGGGGUCAAAGGAGGAAUCCGGUGGGAGAUGGGCUCGCGUCCGAUUAGGUAGUUGGCGGGGUAAUGGCCCACCAAGCCUAUGAUCGGUAGCCGGCCUGAGAGGGUGAACGGCCACAUUGGAACUGAGAGACGGUCCAAACUCCUACGGGAGGCAGCAGUGGGGAAUAUUGGGCAAUGGGGGGAACCCUGACCCAGCAACGCCGCGUGAGGGAAGAAGGUUUUCGGAUUGUAAACCUCUGUUCUUGGAGAAGAGUGUAAGACGGUAUCCAAGGAGGAAGCCCCGGCUAACUACGUGCCAGCAGCCGCGGUAAGACGUAGCGUG